UACGUAGGGUGCGAGCGUUCAUCGGAAUUCCUGGGCGUAAAGCGUGCGCAGGCUGUUUUGUAAGUCAGAUGUGAAAUCCCUGAGCUCAACUUAGGAACUGCGUUUGAAACUACAAGACUAGAAUAUGUCAGAGGGGGGUAGAAUUCCACGUGUAGCAGUGAAAUGCGUAGAGAUGUGGAGGAAUACCAAUGGCGAAGGCAGCCCCCUGGGAUAAUAUUGACGCUCAUGCACGAAAGCGUGGGGAGCAAACAGG
rnacentral:rRNA from 1 species